UUUUUUUGCAGUUCUUUAUGGCAUGUCAAAUAGUUUGAAUUAUGCCUAUGCAUUAAUUGUUGGUUGGUUGUUGAUCAACUGAAGUUUGCAUAAUUUUUGUAUUUUUCUUGAUUGUGAGGGUGGGGGUCUCUCAAAAAUAAUCUCUCUACUUCGUCUGAAAUAGUGCUAUGAAUUACGUACACUUUUUCCUCCCCAAACACUAGUUUGUGAGAAUAUACUAAUAUAUUAUUGUUGUUAUUCUUGACUGUGGCAUGUCAACCAAUCCCUUGAGCGAUUUAAUUUAGUUGUGGUGAAUGAAGUGAAUAAAUAAGAGGG
rnacentral:lncRNA from 1 species